rnacentral:tRNA from 1 species
GGAUAUAUCUCAGUGGCACAGCACAUGCCUGGCAAGCAUGAGAUCCUGAGUUUGAUUCUCAGAACCA